AUGGCGUCCGGCAAGGUGCACACGCACAAGGCGUUCCUCCUCUGCAACUACGCGCUGCUGGGCGCGGCCUCCAGCUGCAUCUUCCUCACGCUCUCCCUCCGCCUCGUCCCAUCGCCCUGCGGCCUGCUCCUCGUCUUCCUCCACGCGCUCACCGCCGUCUUCUCCGCCGCGGGGUGCUCGGGCUCCUUCACGGCCGGCCCGGCCAACCCGGCGCCCUGGCACACCGCGCACACGGCCGGCGCCGCGCUCACCGCCAUCUUCCAGGGCGCCGUCGCGCUCCUGGCAUUCACCCGCACCGCCGACUUCCUCGCCGAGCUCCAGUCCUACGUCCGCGACGACGACGGCGCCGUCAUCCUCAAGAUGGUCGGCGGGCUCGGCACCGCCAUCUUCGUCCUCGAGUGGGCCGCCCUCGCGCUCGCCUUCUCCCUGCGCCUCGACGAGGACGACGACGGUGACGAUGACCUCCGCCGCGCCAAGAACUGGGCCGACGCCUACCAUGUCUGA
rnacentral:rRNA from 1 species